rnacentral:rRNA from 1 species
UACGUAGGGGGCGAGCGUUGUCCGGAUUUAUUGGGCGUAAAGAGCUCGUAGGCGGCUUGUCGCGUCGUCCGUGAAAGCCCGGGGCUCAACUCCGGGCUUGCGGGCGAUACGGGCAGGCUAGAGUUCGGUAGGGGAGACUGGAAUUCCUGGUGUAGCGGUGAAAUGCGCAGAUAUCAGGAGGAACACCGGUGGCGAAGGCGGGUCUCUGGGCCGAUACUGACGCUGAGGCGCGAAAGCCAGGGGAGCAAACGGG